rnacentral:tRNA from 2 species
UCCCCUGUGGCGCAGAUGGUUAGCGCGGCACCCUGUGUGAGUUCAAUCGCUCACCUCGGUGCAGGUCGCCGGUUCGAGUCCGGCCAGGGGAA